UUCAACACACACUCUCUCAACACACACCCUCUCUCUCUCACACAUUCUCCUCUCCUCUGUUCUGUUUUCAAAUUUUGAACACUCUCUCUCUCUCUCUCUUCCUCCAUUGGAGCCCAUUCCCGUGCUUCCCUGUCGAAACCCAACUCUUGCCGUGCUUCCCUGUCUUCAUCUUCUCUCUUCCUCCCUCCCUCUCUGCCGUCGACAAGGGAGUCGUCACUGCCGGAACCGGACCGAAGUCUGUCCCCGGCCAAGCCAAUAUAUAUUAUUCUGAAGGGGAAGAAGACAGUUGCAGAUGUUAUGCCAAUUGCUACAGGUCAUGAGUGUGAAGAACUUUAGGCCGAACUCAAGGUUUUGGCAAUAUUAAGCUGGAACGACCUCUAACAUUAUGGAUAAUGUUCAGUUUCUUCAACAAAGAAAUGUCGGUGUAGUGAUUCGUGAUGAGCAUGAUUUCAAUGUCGUUCGUAUUUUUAAUGCAAUGCAAAAGGAAAAUGCAAAGGCAAUGUCGAAAGGAAAAGAAAAGGUGUCUUAUGCUUCCAAGGGAAGGGAAAGGAAAAUGCAUGUCCAACGGUAUAGUUUUUAAUGGUUUUUGUAAAGUGUUUUUUUUUUUUUUUAAUUGUUAGUUUUUGUAUGUUUGUAUUUUAAGCCAUAAUUGUAGAGUGUUUUUGAAAAUGCAUGCCCAAUUAUUUAUUUUAAACCAUAAUUGUA